GUACUGAUCUUUCACCGAGGCACAGAAGAAGAUGGGUGAGUUCAGCUUCAGAUUCCGCCAGCUCUUGAUGUAGACGAGACCUAGAAAUAUUGGCAUGGUCAACUUUUCUACGGACAUAUCUAACAAUGAGGAGCUUCUCAUGCCUAUAGGUGUCUGAAGGGAACCCAUCUUCUGAUGGAUUGAAUUCUCCAACGCUGGUGGGAUUGAGGUAUGAGCUAAUUGUGGUAUUGGUGGUGGUGCUGGUUUUGCUUUGAAGACAAGAGUGAAAGUGACACAUAUUCUGCUAUUGAGACUUCCUGUUUAAGUGAUUGCUCUUCCGCAUCUCCCUCCUCUUCUCUGAUUCUUCAGUUUAUGUCUCUUUCUCUUUUUUAUCUUUCUCAACUUAUUUUUAUUUAUCUAAUUUUGGUAAAGUUUAGAGGUCGCUUUAGUGAUGCGUUUGUUUCUGCUAUAUGAAAAGCCAGAGAGAUAGAGAGAUGGUUUUGUUUAUAUGACAGUAACUUGAUUCCUAAGCAAGCUCUGGUUGUUUCUAACCUUUUUGCUUAUUAAAUCCAAAUCUCUGUUGAUUUCUU